AUUAUUUUAACAUAUUAGUGUUUUAAAUUUAGAAUUUAAAUAAAUUAUAUAAAUUAUAAUAAAUAAUA
rnacentral:tRNA from 1 species